rnacentral:rRNA from 1 species
CCUACGGGAGGCAGCAGUGGGGAAUAUUGCACAAUGGGCGAAAGCCUGAUGCAGCGACGCCGCGUGAGUGAUGAAGUAUUUCGGUAUGUAAAGCUCUAUCAGCAGGGAAGAUAAUGACGGUACCUGACUAAGAAGCUCCGGCUAAAUACGUGCCAGCAGCCGCGGUAAUACGUAUGGAGCAAGCGUUAUCCGGAUUUACUGGGUGUAAAGGGAGUGUAGGCGGUCUAGAAAGUCUGAUGUGAAAACCCGGGGCUCAACCGCGGGAUUGCAUUGGAAACUUUUAGACUAGAGUAUCGGAGAGGCAAGCGGAAUUCCUGGUGUAGAGGUGAAAUUCGUAGAUAUCAGGAAGAACAUCGGUGGCGAAGGCGGCUUGCUGGACGACAACUGACGCUGAGGCUCGAAAGCGUGGGAAGCGAACAGGAUUAGAUACCCGAGUAGUC